AAGUCGUAACAAGGUUUCCGUAGGUGAACCUGCGGAAGGAUCAUUACCGUGGGGAUUCGUCCCCAUUGAGAUAACGCACCCUUUGUUCAUGAGUACCCUUGUUUCCUCGGCGGGCCUGCCCGCCAGUAGGACAAUAUCAAAACCCUUUUGCAGUAGUAGUAACUUCAGUUAAUAAACAGAUAUUAAAA
rnacentral:misc_RNA from 1 species